rnacentral:rRNA from 1 species
UACAGAGGUCCCAAGCGUUUGUUCGGAUUCAUUGGGCGUAAAGGGUGCGUAGGCGGCGCGGUAAGUCGGGUGUGAAAUCUCGGAGCUUAACUCCGAAACUGCAUUCGAUACUGCCGUGCUUGAGGACUGGAGAGGAGACUGGAAUUUACGGUGUAGCGGUGAAAUGCGUAGAUAUCGUAAGGAAGACCAGUGGCGAAGGCGGGGUCUCUGGACAGUUCCUGACGCUGAGGCACGAAGGCCAGGGGAGCAAACGGG